rnacentral:pre_miRNA from 1 species
GUAAGUGGUGUAGAUGAAACAAAUUUACCAACAAUAUUUUUUGUUGGAUUGUUUCACCUAUCGUUCCAUUUGCAG